rnacentral:rRNA from 1 species
CCUACGGGAGGCAGCAGUGGGGAAUAUUGGACAAUGGGGGCAACCCUGAUCCAGCAAUUCUGUGUGCACGAAGAAGGUUUUCGGAUUGUAAAGUGCUUUCAGCAGGGAAGAAGAAAGUGACGGUACCUGCAGAAGAAGCGACGGCUAAAUACGUGCCAGCAGCCGCGGUAAUACGUAUGUCGCAAGCGUUAUCCGGAAUUAUUGGGCAUAAAGGGCAUCUAGGCGGCCCUGUAAGUCUAGGGUGAAAACCUGCGGCUCAACCGCAGGCCUGCCCCGGAAACUACAGGGCUAGAGUAUCGGAGAGGUGGACGGAACUGCACGAGUAGAGGUGAAAUUCGUAGAUAUGCGGAGGAACACCGAUGGCGAAGGCAGCCUCCUGGGAUAACACUGACGCUCAUGCACGAAAGCGUGGGGAGCAAACAGGAUUAGAUACCCUGGUAGUCCACGCCCUAAACGAUGUCUACUAGUUGUCGGGGAUUAAUUUCCUUGGUAACGCAGCUAACGCGUGAAGUAGACCGCCUGGGGAGUUCGGUCGCAAGAUUAAAACUCAAAGGAAUUGACGG